rnacentral:rRNA from 1 species
AUUGAACGCUGGCGGAAUGCUUUACACAUGCAAGUCGAGCGGCAGCACGGGGGCAACCCUGGUGGCGAGCGGCGAACGGGUGAGUAAUACAUCGGAACAUGCCCAGUCGUGGGGGAUAACACUUCGAAAGAAGUGCUAAUACCGCAUACGUCCUGAGGGAGAAAGCGGGGGAUCUUCGGACCUCGCGCGAUUGGAGUGGCCGAUGUCAGAUUAGCUAGUUGGUGGGGUAAAGGCCUACCAAGACAACGAUCUGUAGCUGGUCUGAGAGGAUGAUCAGCCACACUGGGACUGAGACACGGCCCAGACUCCUACGGGAGGCGGCAGUGGGGAAUUUUGGACAAUGGGGGCAACCCUGAUCCAGCCAUUCCGCGUGAGUGAAGAAGGCCUUCGGGUUGUAAAGCUCUUUCGGCAGGAACGAAACGGCGAGCUCUAACAUAGCUUGCUAAUGACGGUACCUGAAGAAGAAGCACCGGCUAACUACGUGCCAGCCGCCGCAGUAACAC